UUAAAUAUGUUAUUAACUUAUUUUCUAUUAAAUCGAUAUUUUGAUUAACAGGGUAUAUAUCAAAACAAAUUCUAAGCUCCUGUCUCACCCACCAAUUUCAUAUAUAUAUCUUCAGUUUCCAUAGAUCGUGAUUUAGAUGUUAAACUAGUUUUAAGUCUUUUCCUAUCAUACGUUUACAGAGGUUUGAAUUUGAUACUUAUGAAUAAAUCAUUAAAUCCAAUUAUAUAUUCUUUACUGAAUUAAUUUGAUCAAAUUCAAUAAACUCGGCACAAGCAAAGGC
rnacentral:lncRNA from 1 species